rnacentral:misc_RNA from 1 species
CCGAGUUUAUAACUCCCAAACCCCUGUGAACAUACCUAUACGUUGCCUCGGCGGAUCAGCCCGCGCCCCGUAAAAAGGGACGGCCCGCCCGAGGACCCCUAAACUCUGUUUUUAGUGGAACUUCUGAGUAAAACAAACAAAUAAAUCA